rnacentral:rRNA from 1 species
UACGAAGGGGGCUAGCGUUGUUCGGAUUUACUGGGCGUAAAGCGCACGUAGGCGGACUAUAAAGUCAGGGGUGAAAUCCCGGGGCUCAACCCCGGAACUGCCUUUGAUACUGGUAGUCUUGAGUUCGAGAGAGGUGAGUGGAAUUCCGAGUGUAGAGGUGAAAUUCGUAGAUAUUCGGAGGAACACCAGUGGCGAAGGCGACUACCUGGCCUGUUCUUGACGCUGAGGCGCGAAAGCUAGGGGAGCAAACGGG